rnacentral:tRNA from 1 species
UUUUCUUGGGUGUAGCGCACGUAAAGAUUUGAGCUUUAAAGAGAAUUUUCAAGAAAAA